rnacentral:tmRNA from 1 species
CCUCUUUUCAUCGGGGAUGGAAACACCUAUAUCAAACUUGCCGGGGCUUGCUCCGGCUAUGGCAAUAAACGGUCGGUGUAAUAAACCUAUUGGACCCGGGGGCGGUACCCGGCGCCUCCACCAAAAACCGGUCGGUGCGGAUCGCAUGGUCUGACCGGCUUUUGAUGGGGGCGAAAUAGGAUCGACAAGGGCGUAAAGAUCGAACUUUUGCUCGGCAUGAUACCGCCGUUAUCGGGUCACAAGUGUAGUUGCAAACGACAACAACGCUAAGGGUUAUGCUCUCGCUGCCUAAUGGCGGUGCGGGAAAUCCGAACCAAGUCCUCUAGGUUAGCCCCUUGAGGCGGGGUCCGAAGGCACCUGGCAACAGAAGCCUUCACC